rfam:Trichinella zimbabwensis scaffold24s, whole genome shotgun sequence.
AGUAGGCAAGAUGUUGGCAUAGCUGAAUGUGAUUCGAAUUCAGCUACGCCACAUCCGGCCAGCU